GGGUCAGUAGGUUGGUCGUGCCACCGGUACGUACUGGUCUACCUGAUUCCUCCUUCCUGAAGAACCGUAAUGCCAUUAAUUUGGUGUUGCGGGGAAACAGGACUGUUACUUUGAAAAAAUUAGAGUGUUUAAAGCAAGCUAACGCUUGAAUACAUUAGCAUGGAAUAAUGAAAUAGGACGAUCGAUCCUAUUUUGUUGGUUUCUAGGAUUGACGUA
rnacentral:rRNA from 1 species